rnacentral:rRNA from 1 species
UCAGGACGAACGCGGGCUGGGUGCUUAACACAUGCAAGUCGAACGCUGAAGCCCCAGCUUGCUGGGGUGGAUGAGUGGCGAACGGGUGAGUAACACGUGAGUAACCUGCCCCUGACUUCGGGAUAAGCCCGGGAAACUGGGUCUAAUACCGGAUACGACGGCCGGACGCAUGUCUGGUGGUGGAAAGUUUUUUCGGUUGGGGAUGGGCUCGCGGCCUAUCAGUUUGUUGGUGAGGUAAUGGCUCACCAAGACGACGACGGGUAGCCGGCCUGAGAGGGCGACCGGCCACACUGGGACUGAGACACGGCCCAGACUCCUACGGGAGGCAGCAGUGGGGAAUAUUGCACAAUGGGGGAAACCCUGAUGCAGCGACGCAGCGUGCGGGAUGACGGCCUUCGGGUUGUAAACCGCUUUCAGCAGGGAAGAAGCCUCAGGGUGACGGUACCUGCAGAAGAAGUACCGGCUAACUACGUGCCAGCAGCCGCGGUAAUACGUAGGGUACGAGCGUUGUCCGGAAUUAUUGGGCGUAAAGAGCUCGUAGGUGGUUGGUCACGUCUGCUGUGGAAACGCAACGCUUAACGUUGCGCGUGCAGUGGGUACGGGCUGACUAGAGUGCAGUAGGGGAGUCUGGAAUUCCUGGUGUAGCGGUGAAAUGCGCAGAUAUCAGGAGGAACACCGGUGGCGAAGGCGGGACUCUGGGCUGUAACUGACACUGAGGAGCGAAAGCAUGGGGAGCGAACAGGAUUAGAUACCCUGGUAGUCCAUGCCGUAAACGUUGGGCACUAGGUGUGGGGGGCAUUCCACGUUCUCCGCGCCGUAGCUAACGCAUUAAGUGCCCCGCCUGGGGAGUACGGUCGCAAGGCUAAAACUCAAAGGAAUUGACGGGGGCCCGCACAAGCGGCGGAGCAUGCGGAUUAAUUCGAUGCAACGCGAAGAACCUUACCAAGGCUUGACAUACACCAGACCGGUCUGGAAACAGKCCUUCCCCUUUGGGGUUGGUGUACAGGUGGUGCAUGGUUGUCGUCAGCUCGUGUCGUGAGAUGUUGGGUUAAGUCCCGCAACGAGCGCAACCCUCGUUCUAUGUUGCCAGCACGUGAUGGUGGGAACUCAUAGGAGACUGCCGGGGUCAACUCGGAGGAAGGUGGGGAUGACGUCAAAUCAUCAUGCCCUUUAUGUCUUGGGCUUCACGCAUGCUACAAUGGCUGGUACAGAGAGAGGCGAACCCGUGAGGGCAAGCGAAUCCCUUAAAGCCAGUCUCAGUUCGGAUCGUAGUCUGCAAUUCGACUACGUGAAGUCGGAGUCGCUAGUAAUCGCAGAUCAGCAACGCUGCGGUGAAUACGUUCCCGGGCCUUGUACACACCGCCCGUCAAGUCACGAAAGUCGGUAACACCCGAAGCCGGUGGCCUAACCCCUUGUGGGAGGGGGCCGUCUAAGGUGGGACUGGUGAUUGGG